UGGGGAAUUUUGGACAAUGGGCGAAAGCCUGAUCCAGCAAUGCCGCGUGUGUGAAGAAGGCCUUCGGGUUGUAAAGCACUUUUGUCCGGAAAGAAAUCCUUGGCUCUAAUACAGUCGGGGGAUGACGGUACCGGAAGAAUAAGCACCGGCUAACUACGUGCCAGCAGCCGCGGUAAUACGUAGGGUGCAAGCGUUAAUCGGAAUUACUGGGCGUAAAGCGUGCGCAGGCGGUUUGCUAAGACCGAUGUGAAAUCCCCGGGCUCAACCUGGGAACUGCAUUGGUGACUGGCAGGCUAGAGUAUGGCAGAGGGGGGUAGAAUUCCACGUGUAGCAGUGAAAAUGCGUAGAGAUGUGGAGGAAUACCGAUGGCGAAAGGCAGCCCCCUGGGCCAAUACUGACGCUCAUGCACGAAAAGCGUGGGGAGCAAAACAGGAUUAGAUACCCUGGUAGUCCACGCCCUAAAACGAUGUCAACUAGUUGUUGGGGAUUCAUUUCCUUAGUAACGUAGCUAACGCGUGAAGUUGACCGCCUGGGGAGUACGGUCGC
rnacentral:rRNA from 1 species